GUGUGUUAUAAAGCUUCAUGGCUUGUUUAUACUCUGAUAUCCAAACAAAAAGUGUGUGAAGCUCGGGACGUUUCAUGCACGUGACGAGCGGGCGGUGCAGAGUUUUCCUCUGGAUGAGCAUCUGUUUGCCAAAUACAUCAAGAUCAGCCUCCUGAUUUUGUGCCAGUCGAUGACAAAUCCUCCAGAAACCUGAUCAGAUCUGCCAGAGGUACAGUUCGAUGAGACUUAAAGGAUACAGAAAGCAGGUGGAGGAGAUGCAGAGAGCCUUUAACAAAACCAUCAUCAAGCUCCAGAACACCUCCAGAAUGGCCGAGGAGCAGGUCAAAGACAUCUUGAGUCUAAACUCAUUCAGACCAAACCUGGACUGAUGCGUUAGUUCAAUCCAGGAUCCUCCUGUUGGAGAAUCUGUUUAGACAUGAUGACGUGAAGAUCAGCAUUGGUUUCUUCUGUUGUGUAGCUCGAUUUAGUAAAAGGAUCAGAGGCAGACGGACUGCAUCCAGGCUCUGAGGCUCAGCUGGAGAACGUGACGCAGCUCGUCCUCAGUCUGUCUGUCAGCGUGAGUCGACUGCAGCGAGAGGUGUCUGACAGGCAGACCUACAUCCUGCUGUGUCUGCUUCUGUGUUCUUCUGGGGCUGCUGAUCUGUGUGAACUACCGUCAGAUAUCAGAGAGUCCUGCUGUCGAUUCACCGAGAUCCUGCGGACUGGACAGGUGAGGAGACGACCAUCAGGGGUUUACACUAUAGUGACCAGCUCCUGCAACAGGACUGAUGUGAUCAGUCGCAGGUAA
rnacentral:lncRNA from 1 species